GGGCUCUAUGGGGCUCUAUGGGGCUCUAUGGGGCUCCACAGGGGCGGCUAUGGGGCUCUAUGGGGCUCUAUGGGCUCUAUGGGGCUCUAGGGGCGGCUAUGGGGCUCUAUGGGGCUCUGUGGGGCGGCUAUGGGGCUCUAUGGGGCUCUAUGGGCGGCUAUUGCGCUCUAUGGGGCUCUAUGGGGCGGCUAUGGGGCUCUAUGGGGCUCUAAUGGGCUCUUUUGGGGCUCUAUGGGGAUCUAUGGGGCUCUACGGGGCGGCUAUGGGGCUCUAUGGGGCUUUAUGGGGCUCUUAUGGGGCGGCUAUGGGGCUCUAUGGGGCUCUAUGGGGCUCUAUGGGGCGGCUAUGGGGCUCUAUGGGGCUCUAUGGGGCUCUAUGGGGCUCUAUGGGGCGGCUAUGGGGCUCUAUGGGGCUCUAUGGGGCUCUAUGGGCGGCUAUGGGGCUCUAUGCGGCUCUAUGGGGCUCUAUGGGGCGGCUAUGGGGCUCUACGGGGCUCUAUGGGGCUCUAUGGGGCUCUAUGGGCGGCUAUGGGGCU
ensembl:lncRNA